AUGAAGUCCCAAAUACCCAAGAGCUCCCCAUUUUUAACAAUUUUAUUUGACCCAAAAUGGACAGCUAACUGCAGAUGUGACUGGACAAGCAAGUUCGUGACCUACUAGUGAAAGACUAGGUAUAAGAACCAGCAAUGUUGGUCUCUUCAGAUUCUUGGCUUAUCAGUGCGGAGGUCCAUCUUUACAGUACUUGGCAGUACCCUUCCUAGAAUGAACAUUUUCUGACCUACUACAAGACUGAACACAAAUGGGAAAAUGAGCUGAGAGCCAGCACUUGUCACUCUGCCUCCUGACACCAGAUACAUGAGACCAGCUGCCUCUCAACUACCGCCAUGCCUUUCCCACCAUGACAAACGUACUGCGGAUUCAUGAGCCAAAGUUCCUGUUGUCACUGAAGUCCUGGCCUCUCAGUGCUUGAAGGUCAGACCACUGCUUGAAGAGAAAACCAAUGAGAAAUAUGAAAAAUUUGAAGCCGUU